UCAUCCCCAGGUUGUUCUUGGUAGCCUAUUGGUCUCUGCGAGCACAGCCUUGAUGCACAUUGCUUUUCUCCUUCACCAAAGCAUGGGAUUCCCAGGAUUGGAGUCGCUCUGAAUGCUGGGCCAGAGACUGAAGCUCCUCGUCGUCCUCUAAACACCGUCCCAGGCAGCCCUGUCUGUGCAAUUCUCUUAGUUCCUUCCUGCUCUAGUGUGGCCUCACAGACUACAGAAGUGAAGAGCUUUUUACUGAGUUCAGAGUUUAAACAAAGAGAAAAAAGAAAGCAGUUUCUCAGCAGAAAAAUGCAACAAAGACUUUACUUCUUACCAAAUAACUUAAGAAUGUCUGAACAAAAACAUCCAAACCUCGCUAGUGCCAAAAUUUCUCAGAUAAGUCAAGAGAGGAGAAAAACAGUGUAAACCCAAAGCAGCCAGAAAUCUACGGAUGGAAAGAGAGAAAACAGGAUGUAAUGCGCAUGUAGAUGCCGGUCAUUUGAAGAAUACACUGACAGGAGUGUCCUGGGAGUACCUGUGAUGCAUGGGUGUGUUUUCUACUAAAUGUUGUUUGGAAACAAUCAGUAGGUGAGCCCCUGCAGACCCACCCCACUCUCCUCCAGGAACUCUUCCAAACUCUGGGGCUUCAGGCGGCCCUUGGCACCCCCACUGUCUACCUAGCUGCAAACUCCAUCAGGCGCCUCUUAUGUAUCAGGUCACAAAGCAAUCCAGCUGUGAGCUGGUUCUUCUCACACAGGACGCAGGACGGCAAGGCUCAUGGCUAUAGAAAUAAAGAUUUGGAUCUCCCUUCUCCUAAGUGCCUGCCACCGGGCCUUGAAGCCAUAGGAAUGGAUUGACUGGCUUACCAAUCUACAAAUGUUUUCUCCAAACCAACAGAGACUAUAAAUCUGAAAGAGCGCUGCUUCCUAUUACCAUGAAAAAAAAAA